rnacentral:rRNA from 1 species
UUAACGUUCCCCUGCCUUUGUACACACCGCCCGUCGCUACUACCGAUUGAAUGGCUCAGUGAGGCGUCCGGACUGGCCCAGAGAGGCGGGCAACUGCCACUCAGGGCCGGAAAGCUCUCCAAACUCGGUCAUUUAGAGGAAGUAAAAGUCGUAACAAGGUCUCCGUUGGUGAACCAGCGGAGGGAUCAUUA